GAUGAACGCUGGCGGCGUGCCUAAUACAUGCAAGUCGAGCGAACAGACGAGGAGCUUGCUCCUCUGACGUUAGCGGCGGACGGGUGAGUAACACGUGGAUAACCUACCUAUAAGACUGGGAUAACUUCGGGAAACCGGAGCUAAUACCGGAUAAUAUAUUGAACCGCAUGGUUCAAUAGUGAAAGACGGUUUUGCUGUAACUUAUAGAUGGAUCCGCGCCGCAUUAGCUAGUUGGUAAGGUAACGGCUUACCAAGGCAACGAUGCGUAGCCGACCUGAGAGGGUGAUCGGCCACACGGGAACUGAGACACGGUCCAGACUCCUACGGGAGGCAGCAGUAGGGAAUCUUCCGCAAUGGGCGAAAGCCUGACGGAGCAACGCCGCGUGAGUGAUGAAGGUCUUCGGAGCGUAAAACUCUGUUAUUAGGGAAGAACAAAUGUGUAAGUAACUAUGCACGUCUUGACGGUACCUAAUCAGAAAGCCACGGCUAACUACGUG
rnacentral:rRNA from 1 species